rnacentral:rRNA from 1 species
UACGGAGGGUGCAAACGUUGCUCGGAAUUAUUGGGCGUAAAGCGCGUGUAGGCGGUCUGCUAAGUCGAGUGUGAAAGCCCUGGGCUUAACCUAGGAAGUGCGCUCGAAACUGGCAGGCUUGAGUACGGGAGAGGGUCGCGGAAUUCCCGGUGUAGAGGUGAAAUUCGUAGAUAUCGGGAGGAACACCAGUGGCGAAGGCGGCGACCUGGACCGAUACUGACGCUGAGACGCGAAAGCGUGGGUAGCAAACAGG